AGCCGUCAGCCCAGCCAGUUGAGCCAGUGUGCAUUUACGCUUCACCGCGAUCAGUUGUGCCUAAGCUCCCGUGGGCUGAGUGUGAGUUCGUCCUCACUAGUGAGCGCGUUACAAAAUUGAGCGCGUUUGAUGUACACUCACACUAGGCCCUCGGAGUGCUUACCAAACCCAGUUUCGCCUUCAAGAUCCGACAGUGAACCACAGAUGAGACACCAGUCAACCAGUGAGGCAG